GGGCCCGCACAAGCGGUGGAGUAUGUGGUUUAAUUCGAUGCAACGCGAAGAACCUUACCAGGGUUUGACAUCCUGCGAAUCUCUUGGAAACGAGAGAGUGCCUUCGGGAACCGAGUGACAGGUGCUGCAUGGCUGUCGUCAGCUCGUGUCGUGAGAUGUUGGGUUAAGUCCCGUAACGAGCGCAACCCUUGUCCUUAGUUGCCAGCGGGUAAUGCCGGGAACUCUAGCGAAACUGCCGGUGCAAACCGAGAGGAAGGUGGGGAUGACGUCAAAUCAUCACGGCCCUUACGUCCUGGGCUACACACGUGCUACAAUGGCCGGUACAGAGAGCAGCCACUACGCGAGUAGGAGCG
rnacentral:rRNA from 1 species